CCUACGGUGCGCAGCAGUGAGGAAUAUUGGUCAAUGGGCGCGAGCCUGAACCAGCCAAGUAGCGUGAAGGAUGACUGCCCUACGGGUUGUAAACUUCUUUUAUAAAGGAAUAAACUGAAGCACGUAUGCCUUUUUGGAUGUACUUUAUGAAUACGGAUCGGCUAACUCCAUGCCAGCAGCCCCGGUAAUACGGAGGAGCCGAUCGUUAUCCGGAUUGAGUGGGUGUAACAGUUGCGUAGGCGACUUUUUAAGUCAGCGGUAAAAUGUCCGGGCUAAACCCGGGCCGGCAGUUGAAACUGGGGAUCUUGAGUUGGCGAGAAGUAUGCGGAAUGCGUGGUGUAGCGGUGAAAUGCAUAGAUAUCACGCAGAACUCCGAUUGCGAAGGCAGCAUACCGGCGCCCGACUGACGCUGAGGUACGAAAGCGUGGGGAUCGAACAGGAUUAGAUACCCCUGUAGUC
rnacentral:rRNA from 1 species